rnacentral:misc_RNA from 1 species
CCGAGUUUACAACUCCCAAACCCCUGUGAACAUACCACUUGUUGCCUCGGCGGAUCAGCCCGCUCCCGGUAAAACGGGACGGCCCGCCAGAGGACCCCUAAACUCUGUUUCUAUAUGUAACUUCUGAGUAAAACCAUAAAUAGAUCA